rnacentral:tRNA from 1 species
UCCUAUGUGGCUCAGAUGGUAAAGAAUCUGCCUGCAGUGCAGGAGACCCAGGUUCAAUCCCUGGGUCGGGAG